rnacentral:tRNA from 1 species
GGGGCUGUAGCUCAGUUGGGAGAGCAACAGGCUGGCAGUCUGUGGGUCAGGGGUUCAAAUCCCCUCAGCUCCACCA